AUUGAACGCUGGCGGCAGGCUUAACACAUGCAAGUCGAGCGGGGGAAGGUAGCUUGCUACCGGACCUAGCGGCGGACGGGUGAGUAAUGCUUAGGAAUCUGCCUAUUGGUGGGGGACAACAUCUCGAAAGGGAUGCUAAUACCGCAUACGUCCUACGGGAGAAAGCAGGGGAUCACUUGUGACCUUGCGCUAAUAGAUGAGCCUAAGUCGGAUUAGCUAGUUGGUGGGGUAAAGGCCUACCAAGGCGACGAUCUGUAGCGGGUCUGAGAGGAUGAUCUGCCAAACUGGGACUGAGACACGGCCCAGACUCGUACGGGAGGAAGCAGUGGGGAAUAUUGGACAAUGGGGGGAACCCUGAUCCAGCCAUGCCGCGUGUGUGAAGAAGGCCUUAUGGUUGUAAAGCACUUUAAGCGAGGAGGAGGCUCUUUUGGUUAAUACCCAAGAUGAGUGGACGUUACUCGCAGAAUAAGCACCGGCUAACUCUGUGCCAGCAGCCGCCGUAA
rnacentral:rRNA from 1 species